AUUGAACGCUGGCGGCAGGCCUAACACAUGCAAGUCGAACGAGUGGCGGACGGGUGAGUAAUGUCUGGGAAUCUGCCCGAUGGAGGGGGAUAACUCCGGGAAACGGUAGCUAAUACCGCAUACCAUCGAAUGUGCCCAGGUGGGAUUAGCUAGUAGGGGGGGUAACGGCCCACCCAGGCGACGAUCCCUAGCUGGUCUGAGAGGAUGACCAGCAACACUGGAACUGAGACACGGUCCAGACUCCUACGGGAGGCAGCAGUGGGGAAUAUUGGACAAUGGGCGCAAGCCUGAUGCAGCCAUGCCGCGUGUGUGAAGAAGGCCUUCGGGUUGUAAAGCACUUUCAGCGGGGAGGCGUUACCCGCAGAAGAAGCACCGGCUAACUCCGUGCCAGCAGCCGCGGUAAUUC
rnacentral:rRNA from 1 species